rnacentral:lncRNA from 1 species
GGUGGUGGAACUCUAGGUGUCCCAGGAGAUGGUGUAGGAAAAGGUGGAGGGUUAGGUGUAUAUGGAGAUGGUGGAACUGUUGGUGUUAGUGGAGGUGGUGGUGUUGUACCAGGAGCUGGGUUAGGAGGUGGUGUGAUGGGUGAAUAAGGAGAUGGUGGAAUUAUUGGUGUCACUGGAGGUGGUGGUGUUGUACGAGGAGUUGGGUUAGGCGGUGGGGUGAUUGGUGAAUAAGGAGAUGGUGGAACUACCGGUGUCGUUGGAGGUGUUGGUGCUACAUAAGGAGAUGGGUUAGGAGGUGGGAUGAUGGGUGAAAAAGGAGAUGGUGGAACUAUAGGUGUCACUGGAGGUGGUGGUGCACCAGGAGCUGGGUUGGGAGGUGGGAUGAUGGGUGAAUAAGGAGACGGUGGAACUAUCGGUGUCCUUGGAGGUGGUGGUGCUACACCGGGAGUUGGGUUGGGAGGUGGGGUGAUGGGUGAAUAAGGAGACGGUGGAACUAUCGGCGUCCCUGGAGGUGGUGGUGCUACACCGGGAACUGGGUUGGGAGGUGGGGUGAUGGGUGAAUAAGGAGAUGGUGGAAUGAUCGGUGUCAUUGGAGGCGGUGGUGUUGCACCAGGAGUUGGGCUGGGAGGUGGGGUGAUGGGUGAAUAAGGGGAUGGUGGAACUAUCGGUGACACCGGAGGUGGUGGUGGUACACCAGGAGUUGGGCUGGGAGGUGGGGUUAUUGGUGAAUAUGGAGAUGGUGGAACUACCGGUGUCAUUGGAGGUGGCGGUGCUACACCAGGAGUUGGG